ACUCAAAUGAAUAGACGGGACCCCGCACAAGCGGUGGAGCAUGUGGAUUAAUUCGAUACUAACCGAAGAACCUUACCCAGACUUGACAUCGACGGAAACUUCCAGAAAUGGAAUCCUCUACCCACAAGGUAGACCUGAAGACAGAUGUUGCAUGGCUGUCGUCAGCUCGUGCCGUGAGGUGUUUGGUUAAGUCCAGCAACGAGCGCAACCCUCAUUUCGUGUUACCAACAGGUAAAGCUGGGGACUCACGAGAAACUGCCCGUGUAAACGGGAGGAAGGCGAGGAUGACGUCAAGUCAGCAUGGCUCUUACGUCUGGGGCUUCACACAUGCUACAAUGGGCGCAACAAAGGGCAGCAAUACCGCGAGGUGGAGCCAAUCCCAAAAAUACGCCCCCAGUUCAGAUUGCAGUCUGCAACUCGACUGCAUGAAGGCGGAAUCGCUAGUAACCGCAGGUCAGCUAUACUGCGGUGAAUACGUUCCCGGGGUUUGUACACACCGCCCGU
rnacentral:rRNA from 1 species